AUGUUUGUUUCGGAUAGGAACUUGAUGAAUCCACGGUCGACGGUAGUGGAACUUGACGGAUCCAAGGUCUUUGGGCGUAGUGGUACACAUGGUCUUCAGCGUGAGCAGUUGUACACGAUCGGAGGGGAACUUGGCGCGUCAUCGUGUAGUCAUACAUCGAGGUCCUUGUGCACUUUGACGACUCUGGAAGAGGAACUUGGCAACCACGGUCUUGACGUCAACGGUGCCAGGCAGCGGACAGCACACACAACAGGGCACGGCAAAAGUUGUGCACGGCAGCAACGGGUCGUCCAAAGGAGGCAGAGACCAUGGCGCCAAGGAUGA
rnacentral:rRNA from 1 species